rnacentral:misc_RNA from 1 species
GGUGUGCGCCGGACUCCGGUAAAUCGUUUUUUCAUUCUUUGCGAUUUUGGCUGAAUCGUUCACUAGUGUUUGGUUUUGUCUUCGGAUAGUGGUAGGUUUCAGUGUAAUACCUGUGAUUCUUCAAAUUGAUAUGUUUUAGGUAGAGUAAGACGAUUUGAAAUGCACGGAUUGGAAUUUAUGAAAUAUGAAGUACCAAACAUUCGACAGGAAUGAUGAAAUUUUGCAAUCAAUUCAGGGUGAAACCGGAAGAAAUGACUUUAUGCAAACUGAAAAUAAUGGUGGAUUGGAAGUUCAUUCUUUUUUUUUUU